CCGGCGCACGGGUGAGUAACACGUAUGGAACCUGCCCUAUGCAGGGGGAUAAGCGGAAGAAAUUCUGUCUAAUACCGCAUAACACCUUUAGGAGACAUCUUCUUGGGGUCAAAGGAGGCGACUCCGGCAUAGGAUGGCCAUGCGUCGCAUUAGCUAGUCGGCGGGGUAACGGCCCACCGAGGCGACGAUGCGUAGGGGUUCUGAGAGGAAGGUCCCCCACACUGGUACUGAGACACGGACCAGACUCCUACGGGAGGCAGCAG
rnacentral:rRNA from 1 species